CCUACGGGAGGCUGCAGUGAGGAAUAUUGGUCAAUGGGAGAGAUCCUGAACCAGCCAAGCCGCGUGAGGGAAGACGGCCCUAUGGGUUGUAAACCUCUUUUGUCGGAGAACAAAACCCGGGACGUGUCCCGGACUGCGUGUAUCCUACGAAAAAGCAUCGGCUAACUCCGUGCCAGCAGCCGCGGUAAUACGGAGGAUGCGAGCGUUAUCCGGAUUUAUUGGGUGUAACGGGUGCGUCGGCGGUCCGUUAAGUCAGCGGUAAAAUUGCGGGGCUCAACCCGGAGCCUGUAUUUGAGACUGUGUAUCUUGAGUGCGGGAGAGGGGAGCGGAAUUCCGGGUGUAGCGGUGAAAUGCGUAGAUAUACGGAGGAACACCAGUGGCGAAGGCGGAUUGCUGGACAGUAACUGACGCUGAGGCGCGAAAGCGUGGGGAGCAAACAGGAUUAGAUACCCGUGUAGUC
rnacentral:rRNA from 1 species